rnacentral:rRNA from 1 species
UACGGGGGGGGCAAGCGUUGUUCGGAAUUACUGGGCGUAAAGGGUGCGUAGGCGGCGGGGUUAGUCGGAUGUGAAAUCCCGGGGCUCAACCCCGGAACUGCAUUCGAUACUGCCCUGCUAGAGUACUGGAGAGGAGACUGGAAUUUACGGUGUAGCAGUGAAAUGCGUAGAUAUCGUAAGGAAGACCAGUGGCGAAGGCGAGUCUCUGGACAGUUACUGACGCUGAGGCACGAAGGCCAGGGGAGCAAACGGG